UACGAAGGGGCUAGCGUUGCUCGGAUUGACUGGGCGUAAAGGGCGCGUAGGCGGUUCGUACAGUCAGACGUGAAAUUCCUGGGCUCAACCUGGGGCUGCGUUUGAUACGUGCGGACUGAGUGCGGAAGAGGGUCGUGGAAUUCCCAGUGUAGAGGUGAAAUUCGUAGAUAUUGGGAAGAACACCGGUGGCGAAGGCGGCGACCUGGUCCGAUCUGA
rnacentral:rRNA from 1 species